rnacentral:ncRNA from 2 species
GAUUAGAUGGUGACACAAGGUACUACUACCGGGGGAGAAUAGGGAAGUCUGAGUAUGGCCACACCAUACAUAAGCGCGGGCCCGCCACUGUACCGGAGGAGAGCUUACACAGGCCACUCGUCAAGGGGAAGGCGUAAGUAUUGAUGAACCGGGAGCCAGGAGACCUGCCUUACACCGUUUUACAUC